rnacentral:rRNA from 1 species
GAUGAACGCUAGCUACAGGCUUAACACAUGCAAGUCGAGGGGAAACGACAUCGAAAGCUUGCUUUUGAUGGGCGUCGACCGGCGCACGGGUGAGUAACGCGUAUCCAACCUGCCCAUCACUUGGGAAUAACCUUGCGAAAGUAAGACUAAUACCCAAUGACAUCCCACGAAGACAUCUGAAUGGGAUUAAAGAUUUAUCGGUGAUGGCUGGGGAUGCGUCUGAUUAGCUUGUUGGCGGGGUAACGGCCCACCAAGGCAACGAUCAGUAGGGGUUCUGAGAGGAAGGUCCCCCACAUUGGAACUGAGCCACGGUCCAAACUCCUACGGGAGGCAGCAGUGAGGAAUAUUGGACAAUGGGCGAGAGCCUGAACCAGCCAAGUAGCGUGCAGGAUGACGGCGCUAUGGGUUGUAAACUGCUUUUAUAAGGGAAUAAAGUGGGUCUCGUGAGACUUUUUGCAUGUACCUUAUGAAUAAGGACCGGCUAAUUCCGUG